UAUUCCUCCUGUGGAGUUUUGCAGCAAGUCUAGGAUGUGGUUUCUGUUUUCUAGAGAUCAUAUUUUUGGCAAGUCUUGCCCUUAGACUGCAUUCCAUUUGCACUGCAACAUCUCUGGGAAUACUGAGAACAGAUGAACGCCUUGCCUUUCUCCUCUAUACAUCUCAAAACUUAUAAAAGAAGAUGCAACAGCAGGUACUUGGAUCACACCAAGAUUUCUGGAGCCAGAUCCAGCGAGAUGCAGAGUAAUGGAAUGGCAAAAAUCCAAGUUCUAAAAUAAAUGUAAUCUGUCUCCUUUUAAUGAGAAACAAAACACUAGCUUCAAACUCCUCCAGAGGGUGAAACCAUCAUGUGAAUCUUGAUUAUAUGAAGAAUUCCUUAACUCUUCACAACUGCAAAGGCAAUUGCAACAAAGGUAAUGCAGUCUUCUGACAGUUUUGGUUGAUUUGCAAUAGCAGCCAGGAAGCCAAGUGAGAUCAGAGCCCUGACACUUAGGUACUACAUAGGCAGUCCUUCCCCUGCUGCAGUUCCUUUUCAGAAAAAAAAAAAAAAGGGUGGGAGGGGAGCAAAUACUAUUUGGAGAUGGAAAAAAUCAAGUGGCUGCUGAUGGUGUCCUGGAUCUUUGCAUGGUAGGGAAUGCUAUUUCCUUCAGGAUGAUACAAUAUUGUGCUGAAAAUCAGCCCAUAUGCUAAAUUAGGGUUCCUUAUAAGUGACUCUUCUCCUCCAGCCCAGUGGGAGGAAAAAAAUCACAAGGAUUAAGCUGUUGCUAUUUUGAGAAGUGGCACUGGAAGAUUCCAUUAUUUCCACUUUGGAGACCAAAAUAAAUGCAGCAGGUUUUGGUUAAAUGAAAUCUGAAAGGACAAUAUUCCAAGAACAAAUAAACCUCAUAGAAGAAAGAAUGCCCUGACGAGUCCCUUUUCCAUGGAAGUGAUCAGCCUUCCUACUAUACUGAAAAACAAAGUGAUGAACAUGCAGAAGAGCUUUAAAAGGUAAACUUAAUGUUUAAGA